rnacentral:lncRNA from 1 species
GAAAGAAUGUCCCAAACUGAUUUUAUGGGUUAAAAGGUGUUUGGAAAGGGACAGUGUCUCUAAAACUCUUCCUGAUUCUCAGAAAGUUUGCGAGUUUGCCUAUGAGUUUGGAGUGGAAUGAACGAGAGACCGGGAGUGAAUUCAGAAUUUAAAUUUGAUGAAUUUAAAAUAUUUGUAAUAAAUGUUUUUCCUCUGAAACAUGUCUCUUUGUUGGCUUGGGUUUAAACUUUUGUAAUUUUCUCUUCUGGCUUUUCACCUAUGUAAUAAAUGUUACUAUUCCUUUAUGAUGGGAAUGGAUCUUCUAGUAUUUCUUGAUUUCUGUCAACAAGUAAAAACAGUGUAAAACUAUUCCUCUCGCAUGUUCAACAAUGUCAAGAUCUUGCAUUUUUUUACUCUUCUUGUUUGGGAUCCUC